GUGGGGAAUAUUGGACAAUGGGCGAAAGCCUGAUCCAGCCAUGCCGCGUGUGUGAAGAAGGUCUUCGGAUUGUAAAGCACUUUAAGUUGGGAGGAAGGGCAGUAAGUUAAUACCUUGCUGUUUUGACGUUACCGACAGAAUAAGCACCGGCUAACUUCGUGCCAGCAGCCGCGGUAAUACGAAGGGUGCAAGCGUUAAUCGGAAUUACUGGGCGUAAAGCGCGCGUAGGUGGUUUUGUAAGUUGGAGGUGAAAUCCCCGGGCUUAACCUGGGAACUGCCUCCAAAACUGCAUGACUAGAGUACGGUAGAGGGUAGUGGAAUUUCCUGUGUAGCGGUGAAAUGCGUAGAUAUAGGAAGGAACACCAGUGGCGAAGGCGACUACCUGGACUGAUACUGACACUGAGGUGCGAAAGCGUGGGGAGCAAACAGGAUUAGAAACCCCGGUAGUCC
rnacentral:rRNA from 1 species